UUUUUCAGUGUCCUACAACCAAUAAAAUUACAGGGUUUCCAGACCGGAUAGGCUAUGGUAAAAGCACAAAAUCAGGAGCCUAGACUAGGAAUAUUCGAGUCAAAACUUAAAUACGCAAGUGAUUCAGCACUAUACAAGAAAACCUAAAUUUGUAUCACUAUACACUCUUUUAGGUUUUUUUUCCCCAAUAUAUACAUGAUACUGGAAUAAUGAAAGUUACCUACAACUGAACGCAUAAUCCCCAGAGAGCAACUAAUGACAAAUAAAAAAAUUGUAGCAGAUGCCAUUAAUAGACGGCAGUUGAAACUUCUACCAGUAGCCUUUCACACUGGCACAUUUGAUGAUUCAAUAUUGGGUAGCAAAACUGCAUGGAAGUUCAGGCACA
rnacentral:misc_RNA from 1 species